rnacentral:rRNA from 1 species
CUUUGUGGAACGGAACUUCUUUGACAGAAUUCUUCGGAAGGAAGUUGAUUAAGUUUAGUGGCGGACGGGUGAGUAACGCGUGAGUAACCUGCCUUUGAGAGGGGAAUAACUUCCCGAAAGGGAUGCUAAUACCGCAUGACGCAUAUUUAUCGCAUGGUAGAUAUGCCAAAGAUUUAUCGCUCAAAGAUGGACUCGCGUCCGAUUAGCCAGUUGGCGGGGUAACGGCCCACCAAAGCGACGAUCGGUAGCCGGACUGAGAGGUUGAACGGCCACAUUGGGACUGAGACACGGCCCAGACUCCUACGGGAGGCAGCAGUGGGGGAUAUUGCGCAAUGGGGGAAACCCUGACGCAGCAACGCCGCGUGAAGGAUGAAGGUUUUCGGAUUGUAAACUUCUUUUAUUUAGGGCGAACAAUGACGGUACUAAAUGAAUAAGCUCCGGCUAACUACGUGCCAGCAGCCGCGGUAAUACGUAGGGAGCAAGCGUUAUCCGGAUUUACUGGGUGUAAAGGGUGCGUAGGCGGCUUGGUAAGUCAGAUGUGAAAUGUAUGGGCUCAACCCAUGCACUGCAUUUGAAACUAUUGAGCUUGAGUGAAGUAGAGGUAGGCGGAAUUCCCUGUGUAGCGGUGAAAUGCGUAGAGAUAGGGAGGAACACAGUGGCGAAGGCGGCCUACUGGGCUUUAACUGACGCUGAGGCACGAAAGCGUGGGUAGCGAACAGGAUUAGAUACCCUGGUAGUCCACGCUGUAAACGAUGAUUACUAGGUGUGGGGGGUCUGACC